rnacentral:rRNA from 1 species
GAUCAUGGCUCAGGAUGAACGCUAGCGGCAGGCUUAACACAUGCAAGUCGAGGGGCAGCAUAAUGGAUAGCAAUAUCUAUGGUGGCGACCGGCGCACGGGUGCGUAACGCGUAUGCAACCUACCUUUAACAGGGGAGUAACACUGAGAAAUUGGUACUAAUACCCAUAAUAUCAUAGAAGGCAUCUUUUAUUGGUUGUAAAAUUACCGAUGGUUAGAGAUGGGCGAUGCGUUG